CUACGUGCCAGCAGCCGCGGUAAUACGUAGGGUGCAAGCGUUAAUCGGAAUUACUGGGCGUAAAGAGUGCGCAGGCGGUUUUGCAAGACCGAUGUGAAAUCCCCGGGCUUAACCUGGGAACUGCAUUGGUGACUGCAAGGCUAGAGUGUGUCAGAGGGAGGUGGAAUUCCGCAUGUAGCAGUGAAAUGCGUAGAUAUGCGGAGGAACACCGAUGGCGAAGGCAGCCUCCUGGGAUAACACUGACGCUCAUGCACGAAAGCGUGGGGAGCAAACAGGAUUAGAUACCCUGGUAGUCCACGCCCUAAACGAUGUCUACUAGUUGUCGGGGAUUAAUUUCCUUGGUAACGCAGCUAACGCGUGAAGUAGACCGCCUGGGGAGUACGGUCGCAAGAUUAAAACUCAAAGGAAUUGACGGGGACCCGCACAAGCGGUGGAUGAUGUGGAUUAAUUCGAUGCAACGCGAAAAACCUUACC
rnacentral:rRNA from 1 species